rnacentral:lncRNA from 10 species
CUUUCCUGCAUGCUCGGCUGCCUUCGGAUCCAACGCUCCUAGCUGGGAGAUGGGAAGCUGUGGGCUGCGCAGUGGGUCUUUAUGGUCUUGGAAAGGGGACACCCCACCUUGUGCUCAUCUUUGUAGAAUCUGGGCAAGUUUGGGGGUCCUCAUAAAGAUUUUGAAAUUUUUGAAGUCUAUUCUCUGCCUGUUUUUCUAAAAAAUUCUUCAGUAGACUGUUUCAUGAGGCCUUCUCCCAUCUAGAAUCUUUCUCAGGAGUAUUCUGGAUGCUUUGACCUGGAUCAGUUACUGCUUUGGUUUGUGGCAACAUGAAAACUGGCACAACAGGACAAAAAUGAGUUGAUUAUUUCAGCUGAACUUCCUGGGAGUUUCAUUCACAAUAAAGGAGAGGCAGAACAAGUAGAAAACUGGAACAUGCAGCUCCUCAUUAUGCCUUUGUUGUACCAUCCAUGCAGUGAAUGUUUACCAAAUUCACUUUAUGCCUCAUAGCAGGAGGCCACAAGGAGAGUGACUGAGUUCCCAUGGCUACCACAGGAGGCCGCCAGGUGGGACAAAGAAUUCAGGGUGAGGAAGUAGAUGGCCUGGGUCCCCAUUUCUGUUGUUACCUCCUAGCAGUUAGCAUGUCUGAACCUCAGACUCCUUAUAAAAACCCCAGUUUUGUCUACAGCUCAGUAUGAUUGUGAGAAUCAAGUGAAACAAGAAAACUCCAAGGAUGAGUUAAAGAAAAAAACCCCACAAGCAUUUACAACAGCACAAAGCAGCUUUUUUGAGACCACAUAGAUGGGAAUUAAGUUUCAGGAGUCUGGGGUACAAGCCUGAAAGUACAUCCACUCUGUGCCUCCCAGGGAAGCUGAGAGGGCUGCAUGUUCCGGAGCAAACCCUUUGAAUGAGGGCGGAGUGGGCAAGAGAACAAGUGAGCCAUCCUAUUGUUUCUUCAACCUCAAAAUGUCAAAAUUGAACUCAUCACUUCUUGACCUUGGCUUUAGGCCACCACUUCCCCUUCAUGGCGCUCUCUGGCCCUAAUACCCUGGCCUUUUGAAGUUAAUAGCACGGAAGGCAACCGUGUCCACCCACAGUGUGAUUCUUGGCUGCACUGUGAGGACCAGACACUGGGCCAGAGUGGAUGUGGCUCUGAUGUCUUAUGAUUCCCCCCAUUGUAUGCUCAGAAUCUUGUUUAGUAAGGCUGCCAAGAACGGAGACUACCUAGAGAAGGUUUUCACUUAAAUAAUUCAGCGUGGCAUUGAACAAAGUCAAAUGGCAAAUGAUAAAAUUGGAGAGAAAGAACUAGACUUAGGAUUCAAUCAUCCAGGCUCUACUCUGGACUCUCUACUUAUUUUUUGUUUGGCUUUGGAAAAGUUACUUCACCUGUUUGCACCUCAGUUUCCUCAUUUGAAAAAGGGGGUUAAGAAUCACUGCCGCUAUGAAGUUACAGGGCUGCUAUGAGAGUCGGAUGGAAGGAUGUAUUUGGUGUGUCAUCAACUGACGAGCUCCCUAUGGUACAAAGAACACAAAGUAGAUUUGGGGUGAUUCGUUGUUAAAGGCAAUCAGAAAGAAACUAGAAUUUAUUGAGGUUUGUUAUGAACCUGACUUCAUGUUUCAUAUAUAAUCACAUUCACUUUUCACAAGAAUCCUGUGAAGUGGGUAUUAUCAUCCUCCUUUUUCUCAGAGAGGUUAAGUAACUUACCCAAGAUUACACGCUGCCAAC